rnacentral:rRNA from 1 species
UACGGGGGGGGCAAGCGUUGUUCGGAAUUACUGGGCGUAAAGGGCUCGUAGGUGGCCAACUAAGUCAGACGUGAAAUCCCUCGGCUUAACCGGGGAACUGCGUCUGAUACUGGAUGGCUUGAGUUUGGGAGAGGGAUGCGGAAUUCCAGGUGUAGCGGUGAAAUGCGUAGAUAUCUGGAGGAAUACCGGUGGCGAAGGCGGCAUCCUGGACCGAGAUUGACACUGAUGAGCGAAAGCUAGGGGAGCAAACGGG